rnacentral:rRNA from 1 species
AACGAACGCUGGCGGCAUGCCUAACACAUGCAAGUCGAACGAGACCUUCGGGUCUAGUGGCGCACGGGUGCGUAACGCGUGGGAACCUGCCCUUAGGUUCGGAAUAACUCCCCGAAAGGGGUGCUAAUACCGGAUAAUGUCUUCGGACCAAAGAUUUAUCGCCUUUGGAUGGGCCCGCGUUGGAUUAGCUAGUUGGUAGGGUAAAAGCCUACCAAGGCGACGAUCCAUAGCUGGUCUGAGAGGAUGAUCAGCCACACUGGGACUGAGACACGGCCCAGACUCCUACGGGAGGCAGCAGUGGGGAAUAUUGGACAAUGGGCGGAAGCCUGAUCCAGCAAUGCCGCGUGAGUGAUGAAGGCCUUAGGGUUGUAAAGCUCUUCUACCCGGGAUGAUAAUGACAGUACCGGGAGAAUAAGCUCCGGCUAACUCCGUG